AAACGAAGAGAAUCGCAGGGACGACGAUGUCCUUGAGGAAAGUCCACGCUCGCCCAAGCUGAGAUGCUUGGAGUUUGGAGGCUAGGGCUAACAACCCUAGGGAGCUGUACAUCAGCUUACGUCAGGGAAAGGGGCUACGUCCGUUUGCGGAUAUGUCCCGAAUACCUUGAAAGUGCCACAGUGACGAAGUUUCCAUGGAAACGUGGAAAGUGGAACGAGGUAAACACCCUCUGCGAGAAACCCAAAUGUUGGUCGGGGAACAACUCCUAAGGAAACGAGAACAGAGGAGUUGCACAUCUUGGGCAAACAAGAUGUGAGAUAGAUGAUUCUCCUUCAUUGUGCGAGGAUGGCUUCCGUUGCCAGCACGACGAAGAACAAAACGUGGCUUACG
rnacentral:RNase_P_RNA from 1 species